CUGUGUUGUUCUAGAAAGCCCUCUCAAUCCUAUCGCCACGAGCCCACGACACGACGCGGAAGUAACCCGGCUGCUCCGGAACUCUCUCUCGCCAUGCUGCCGGCGGUCGCCGCCUUCUCGCCGACGCCGCACGUCUCCCCGGCCCUGUCCUCCCAUCUCCGGUGCCACAACCUGGGCCUUCGCUUCCACGCACGCGUCCGUGCUUCCUCCAGGUCGUCCUCGUCCGGCGCCGGCCGCGCCCGCCUCCUCCUCGCCGGCGCGUUCGCCUCCAUCGACGGUGGCGCGGGACAUGAUGUUGGUAGUUCUGCUGGCUCCAAAAGUUCUGGAUCUGCAUACAUUGGCCUCUUUGUUCGAAUGCUUGGCUUGGACAAUGACUCUCGUGACAGGGAGCAUGCUGUUUGCACACUCUGGCAAUACUCCCUUGGUGGACGGAGGAGCAUUGAUGAGAUAAUGCAAUUCACUGGUUGCAUUGUUCUCGUCAUUAGCCUGCUGAAAUCAGAAUCUAUUCGCGCCUGUGAAGCAGCUGCAGGUCUUCUGCGUAACGUAACGUCAGUUCAGUUAUACAGGCAGAUGGCCGUUGAGAGUGGAGCAAUGGAAGAAAUCUUCAGUCUUCUCUGUAAAUCUACAGUAACCCCUGAGACGAUCGAGCAGUGUUUGUGUACCAUUUGGAACUUUUCUAUUGAUGAGAAUUGGAGGUACAAGAUUUUGAGGAGUGAUGUUCUAACAAAGAUUGUUAGCUACCUAGAUGAUGAAGUUAUAAAAUUCAAAGAGGCUGCUGGUGGUAUCAUAUCAAAUUUAGCCUUAAGUCCUUCUAAUCAUGGACCUCUGGUCGAAGCAGGUGUGAUUCCAAAAUUGGUUCACCUUUUGCAAAACAAAGAAGAGGACUAUAAGAUUAUCAGAAAGGAAGCUAGAAGUUCACUUAUACAGCUAGCCAUCGAUGAUUAUUACCACAGCCUUAUAAUAGAGGAGGGUCUAGUCCGGGUUCCUUUGGUUGGCUCAGCUGCAUACAAAGCUUUUAGACCUCUCCCUCAUUCAUGGCCUUCUUUUCCUGAUGGCUCUGAGAUUCAACGGAGUUCUCGCCCCUCAAAAUACGGUGCUACGGAACUGCUCCUUGGCUUGAGUGUGAAUGAGAAGGAAACAAAACCCGACAAAGCUAAAAUUAAUGCUAUGAUAGGGCGUUCUAAUCAGCAAUUCCUUGCACGUGUUGGAGCUAUUGAGUUGGAUGAUGAAGGAAAGGACCAAUCUGGAUCUGAAAAGAAUGACCUCUAUACCAUUUUGCCAUGGGUAGAUGGUGUUGCACGGCUAGUUUUAAUCCUUGGUCUUGAAGAUGUAUCUGCAAUUAAAAAGGCUGCUAGAGCAAUAGGCGAUGCGUCAAUAAAUGAACAUAUGCUCACCUCAUUCAAGGAAGCUGGGGCUGUUAAACCUCUACUUCAGUUGCUGAAGCACAGUGAUCUACCUGUUAGAGAAGCUGCUGCUUAUGCGUUGGAAAGACUAAGUGUCAGCUCCACAAUCUGUCAGAAGAUCAAAGCAGAAGGUGGACUAGAACUGCUUCUAAACGCAGUGAAGGAUCCAAAUACUCAUGUAGAACAACUAGAGAAGAUAAUUUAUACACUUUCUCGAAUAUUUGACAGGGGGACCAGCAUGGUAGAUGCGCAGGAUAGCUAUGCUUGUAAUGGGUCCGAGGAUGUAACAAAUUCAGAGACGAGUAUUCAAGGUGAUAUAGAUACUGAAAACAAUGGAAUUUCCCAUACUGUAAACCAAGAGAUGACCAGCGAGAUGAUCGUUGAUUUUGAUGCAAUCUCAUGCUUAACCAAAGUUCUGAAGGAAGGAUCGCCGAGUCUGCAAGCAAAAGUCUGUUCUGUACUGGAGCAUUUCGCAGCUUCUGAGCAACAUGCCACUGCAAUGAUUGCUGCUUGCACUGGUUCAGUAAUCGAAACUAUUCUGGAAAUUGGGGUCAUUUAUGGGACCAGAGGUGAUCCUGAAAACUUUGAUGACCUUCCUAGCGUAGUCACUGAAGAAGUCAGUCAGGCUGUGUCUGCAGCUGUGAGGUUACUCACAAAGUUAUUGGACUUUGAUCUUUUCAUCCGCAGCAUAAAUAGUGAGAAAUUUACUUCUCUGUUAAGAAGAAUGCUCAAGUCCAGUUUUCCCCUUCAGUCAAAGGAUUGGCUUGCAGCGUGCCUCGUUAAGCUAGAAUCAAGAGCUGGAUUAUCAGGAGAUCAUGGUGUCAGCAGUAUAGAUAUGGAGAUAACAAUUUAUGAGACUAUUCCAAGACUAGUUGAGCAAAUGAUGACCUCAUUUUCUUUCGAAAAUAAAGGAAGUGCCGUAAUAGAGCUGAACAAGAUCAUAUCUGGUGGUGUGAUGGAAUACACAAGAGCGGUGGCUGCAAUUGGAGGGAUAUUUCCGCUGGUGAAACUGCUUGAAGAGGGCGAUGAAGGUGCACUGGAAGCUAGCCUAGCUAUCUUGUAUAAUUUGAGCAUGGAUCCAGAGAAUCACCCAGCAAUAAUUGCUGCCGGAGCGGUGCCUCUGUUAAAGCGGAUUGUUCUUGCGCAAGGCUCACACUGGACUAGUGCUCUUCAGUUGUUGAGAACUUUACCUGUAUGACAUCAUGGAAACAAAUGACCAUCAUCAAUGGACGUUUAAAGUGUACUUGUAGCGUGCACAGGUACGCCGCUAGUUAGUUAGAUAAUUAAGAUUGCAGCGGAACCAAUCCUGCUCAGAACCGUCAUGUAGAAAUAGAGUUUCAUGACAGUGGCCUUAUGAAACCAGGAGUUCCAAAUCCCGGCCUUAUCUUAGCAAUGGCGUCGCCAUUUUAUGACCAAUUGAAGUGCCUUUCUAUCAAGCGCCGUGGCUGGAGCAGGAUGACUGCUUUCCAAAGAUAAUCUUUUUGCUAAUAGGUUAUGGCAAAAGUUAGUCCCAUUCACUUUUGGACAUAGUAGCAGUUGCUGGUUGUGUGCCCUGCAGAAGUUCACAUUGUGCUUGUUCAUUCCACCCUGUUUUUUUGAACGCUGGGUUACUACUCUGGAAAAAAGAAAAGGAAGAGCCUUUUGUUAACAAUAUAUAACUGAAGGGAUGCUAGAUAGAGCUAUUACGCUGUGUUUAUCUGACGGAGCAGAGCGCAUGCUGAGGUUGUAACUCGCGUGGGAUAUCGGAUGUGUAACCUGGGUCACAUGAUCGUGGCAUUGCUUUGCCAUCACCCUCCGUGCUGCAGCCUAGUAAAAACUCUGCCAGACAAAGUACCGCUCGAAUUCAAUAUUCCACUUUGUGUUUU